GUUAGAGAUUGCCAAGAAUUGAAAUUGCUAUAGUUUAUAUGGAGAAAGUGCUUGAAAGUGAAGAUUGAAGUUUUACUAAUAGUCAUUAUUUGAAGAUAAUUUAUGUUCAUACUCUGCCAUUGCAGAUUUUUUUAAUGUGUUUUUAAAUUUGUGCAUUUUUAAAAGAUUUAAUUGUUCAUAUGGUUGACUUCACUUUUUGUACCUGAAUUUUUCCUAUGAAAAUAAAUUUCUUUGCUCUUUGACAUUCCAAACAAAAUAGACAACAUUGCAUACAUACAAGAAAACAUCUUUGUGUAGAAAGGAACUCCAUGGCACACCCCCGAACAACCUUCAGAAACACUAUAGACACCAGUGACAAACAACUGGAUAGUCAGGGAUCUGUUUACAGAAACAGAAGGGUUCAUAAUAGCAAUACAAGAUCAGAUAAUAAACAUGAAAAACUACAGAAAAUACAUAAGGACAGCACAUUGACAAACGGCACUUGCAGGAAAUGCCACAUACAUUACAUAUACAAGAUGUACUAUGACAGUACAAUCUUAAGACAAAAUUACAUCAACAACAGACCAGACAUCACUCAUAGACAAGCAAAAUAGUUAUUUACAUUACAGACAUCUCAAUACCCAAACACACAUCCAGGAUACAUUCACCCAAAAAAUUAGCAAAUACACA
rnacentral:lncRNA from 1 species